CUCCAGUGGGCGGGCGCGGAGGGUCAAGCCCAGCCCAUACCUCCGCCGCCGCAGAGCGCCGGGGGGAGCAGAUGGAGUCCUCGGUGUCUCCCGCCCUCACCCACCUGCCGGGUCUUCUUGCUCCCUCGCAGGCUUCCAACCCUUCGGUCCCCUAGCAGCACAAUUCAAGGUGAAAACUUUGCUCAGCUCUGCUGGACCACCUGCCCGGGUCAGGGAGGCGAGGGUCCGGGCAGAGGGGAGGCUCUCAGAGUCCUUAGCGCCAGGAACUUAAAGCCUCAGGAAAAAGAAGCAAAACAUAUUGUACUUCAGGAUACAAGGAUUGGAUUUGUUCUUCAUGAAAAAUGUCAGAGACCUUUUGUUGUAGGUAUGUUCAGUCAUUUAAAAUUUGCUGUAAGCAAAUUAAGUGAUGAGCAUUCUUAGGAACAUAGCAGGAAUGUGUGUGUCUCUGUGUGUGUUUAUAUGUGUACAGUGCUAGGGAUCAAACUUAGGACCUUGAGAAUAAGAAAAUUUUA